GAGAAGAAUGAAGGAAGUUCUGAAUUUCUCCUGUCACAUCUUCAUCUGGGUCCCCUUAGCAGGUGCCUGUGUCCUGCUCCUCAUUGCCCUGGUGAUCACCCUCGUGCUGUGCCGACAAACCAGAAGACGAAGAUGCAGGUGUAAGAGACCUGCACACGGGAAUCCCCCCACAAAACCCAGGACACCAAACUAACACAGACCAGCAUCUGCUCCUUCUGCCUCCUGGAUCCUCUCCUGGCAGCUGCCAGCACCAAAAUCCGUCUCCUACGUUAUCCACAAUGCCACUGCACCUCAGCCACUCUGCCCUGACAGGUCUGAAGGGACAGAGGGAGCACAGACACACAGCCAGCAGCACUUCCCUGUGAGCUGCAGGGUAAAGCACAGCUCCUUCCCAAGCCUGAGCUUCUCUGGCAAUGCCAAAGGCCCCCUCUGCUCCCAGGGAUGGGCUCAGGCACAGGAACCAGGACGUGCCUCAGUGAGAAGCUGAUGAGAAAUAAGGAUAUGAGCUGGACCUUUGCUCAAGGCUGUGUGCCAUUUCCUCCCAAAAUGCAGCCAGAGGUGGAAUUUGCUACACAAAGCCUUAGAAAUAAUUCUCCUCACUCAACACAUCAUCUUCUUGUGGUGCCUCUCUCCUAGAGCUUUUAUUGUUUCAUGUAUUUGAAUACAAAACUGCAUUGAGAAGCUAAAUAUGGACUAAAGGGCUUCACUUUUGAGGUUUUUACAGUCCUGGGGGCUAAGGUUCACUGUUCCCCUCACACUAUCCUUGUUCUGCUGCUACCCCUGAUCCACCUGUUUCUGCAGUUUGGCCUGAGUAAGGAAAGUGGGAUUUGCUUUCUUCUUUCUGAGGGCAAUACCUGAAUGAUUGAAAAAAAUAAAUCUUUGUCACUUGUUUUGGUUAAGCAGGACAUUUAACAAGUUGACAUUUUGGGGACAUAUUAUAGACAACUGUAAAUUCUGUUUUUUCAGAUCUGUAUUUCAUGUAAAUAUUUCCUUAGUGUAAUUGCGAUUUAAGAACUGAGAUAUAAAAUAAAA